GUUGCAAAUUAAAAGUACAAUGACUAAAACUAGAACGAUACAGAGAUUAUCUGUAUGGCCCCUGUGCAAGGAUGACACACAAAUUUGUGAAGCGUUCCAUAUUUUU
ensembl:snRNA U6 U6 spliceosomal RNA